CGUAUUAAAGGGUCGAUUUAGCCAUGCUAGUUGUACGAGUUGAGACUCGUAGCAGAUAGCUCAGUAACACGUGGCCAAACUACCCUAUGGAUCCAGACAACCUCGGGAAACUGAGGCUAAUCUGGAAUAGGGCUCUCAUCCUGGAGUGGAGAGAGCCUGAAAUGCCCCGGCGCCAUAGGAUGUGGCUGCGGCCGAUUAGGUAGACGGUGGGGUAACGGCCCACCGUGCCAGUAAUCGGUACGGGUUGUGAGAGCAAGAGCCCGGAGACGGUAUCUGAGACAAGAUACCGGGCCCUACGGGGCGCAGCAGGCGCGAAACCUUUACACUGCACGCCAGUGCGAUAAGGGGACUCCAAGUGCGAGGGCAUAUAGUCCUCGCUUUUUGCGACCGUAAGGUGGUCGCGGAAUAAGUGCUGGGCAAGACCGGUGCCAGCCGCCGCGGUAAUACCGGCAGCACGAGUGAUGACCGCUGUUAUUGGGCCUAAAGCGUCCGUAGCUGGCCGCGCAAGUCUAUCGGGAAAUCUCUCCGCUUAACGGAGAGGCGUCCGGUGGAAACUGUGUGGCUUGGGACCGGAAGACCAGAGGGGUACGUCUGGGGUAGGAGUGAAAUCCCGUAAUCCUGGACGGACCACCGGUGGCGAAAGCGCCUCUGGAAGACGGAUCCGACGGUGAGGGACGAAAGCUCGGGUCACGAACCGGAUUAGAUACCCGGGUAGUCCGAGCUGUAAACGAUGUCUGCUAGGUGUGACACAGGCUACGAGCCUGUGUUGUGCCGUAGGGAAGCCGUGAAGCAGACCGCCUGGGAAGUACGUCCGCAAGGAUGAAACUUAAAGGAAUUGGCGGGGGAGCACUACAACCGGAGGAGCCUGCGGUUUAAUUGGACUCAACGCCGGACAUCUCACCAGCAUCGACAAUGUGCAGUGACGGUCAGUGUGAUGAGCUUACCUGAGCCAUUGAGAGGAGUGCAUGGCCGCCGUCAGCUCGUACCGUGAGGCGUCCUGUUAAGUCAGGCACGAGCGAGACCCGCACUCUAAUUGCCAGCAACACCCUUGUGGUGUUGGGUACAUUAGAGACUGCCAGUGCCAACUGGAGAAGGACGGGCACGGUAGGUCAGUAUGCUCGAUUGGCUGCGACCCGGCUACAUGCACGCGUGGAUGCCACGCUAGGCACCUUAUCUCCGACGUGUCUAUCCGAAUGAGGCUGACUGCCUCUGACCUGAAUCGGUUAUCGCCCUAGGGCAGUAAUCGUCGGUUCUUGCACCCCCCUCUACACCCGAGGUGGUCCCGAUG
rnacentral:rRNA from 1 species